rnacentral:rRNA from 1 species
AACGUAGGUGGCGAGCGUUAUCCGGAUUCACUGGGCGUAAAGGGUGCGCAGGCGGCCAAGUGUGUGAGGCGUGAAAGCCCGGGGCUUAACCCCGGAAUUGCACCUCAAACUACAUGGCUAGAGCAUUGGAGAGGGUAGCGGAAUUCACGGUGUAGCAGUGAAAUGCGUAGAUAUCGUGAGGAACACCAGAGGCGAAGGCGGCUACCUGGACAAUUGCUGACGCUCAGGCACGAAAGCGUGGGGAGCAAAAGGG